CCUACGGGAGGCAGCAGUGGGGAAUAUUGCACAAUGGGCGAAAGCCUGAUGCAGCGACGCCACGUGAGGGAUGACGGCCUUCGGGUUGUAAACCUCUUUCAGCAGGGAAGAAGCGAGAGUGACGGUACCUGCAGAAGAAGCGCCGGCUAACUACGUGCCAGCAGCCGCGGUAAU
rnacentral:rRNA from 1 species